rnacentral:lncRNA from 1 species
UUCUUCAUAUCUUUUUUUAGAGUUCAAGGGGAAACAACCCCCUGUCCAUAUGCAUUGCAAACAGGACAACAGGUUUAAGCAGUUACAUCUCAGGGUCUCUCUUCAGUGCCUCAAGCCCCACACAGGAAUUAAGAACUGUUAAAAAGCCAACAAGCUAAACAGCAGUACUACAACACUCCAACUACAUUGAGAACCCCCAACUCAAUUCACCUCUACUGAAACCAUCACUCUCCAGCUGCACACAACAGGAGUAACUGGGAAACCCUGCUACUGUCUUUCUUUGCCUUUUUCCUGUUUUACAGCUUGGUGUUGAUCAUGAGGAAGCACCAUCCUUCCAACAAAUCCUCCCCGGCAUCGCCACCAGUGCCUCCAAGCUGCUCAGCCACGCAUUGUAUCUCUCCAGAUGUUUUGCAGGGCACAGCAGGGACCAAUUCUUGAGCAUUCCUGACAUACUCCACCAAAGCUGCGAGAGAUCCUUCCACCUGUAGUUCUGAAAACAUAAGGAAUUCCUCAGUUUCCAAAUGGCCCACAUGGCCGCGGCACAAAACAUAUUCAUCACACAAUGCUUCUUAUCACUUAUCCAAAAUCUAGCCACAGAUUCAAAAUCCCUAAAGCCAUCUGUGCCAUCUAUCUCAGCUAGUCCUACCCAAAUCUGUUGGGCAACCACACACCCAAAAAACAGGUGAUGAACAGUUUCAGUUUCAGCGCAGAAAAGACAAGUAUUGUCUUCUAGUUUUCUUCUCUUGGCUAGAUUAUCUCUGGUUAGUAGUUUGUUCUUUGAGAGCAGCCAUAAAAAAAUAUGCACCCGUGGUGGGAUGUGCAACUUCCAUACUGCUGGAGUAUGCACAGGCACCACACCCCUAAAGUUUAUAAUUUUGUAGAGGGAUUGUGACGAAUAGAUACCACUCAAGGUGUAUUCCCAGAUUACCACAUCAUCUUCACAAGUAAAUGUAAUGGUGGAUGCUAUCUGAACUAUUUCCUCCCACUUUCUAAACUGGCUUGGUGUAACAUGUUGGCAAUGGCCAAGGUGAGUUUCCUAAACUCACAGCCACUCUCUCACACGCCUUGAGGUAGAAGAAGGGAUAGGAGAACAGAGCACACACACACACUCAGUUUCAAUUUGUGCUGCUGACCUGAAUUGAGCUGCAGCUGCUCUUCUACUCUUUAUAGAGACUAAAGUCAAACUAGAGUACAUACUAGAAUGAGUGCUUCUACCAACUACCUACUACUUAGUACAAUACAUGACAGGGCAUGCUUGCCCUUCUACUCAUGGCACUGCUGCCAUAUACGGCAGGCAGGAGCCAGUAGCAGGCUAGGAGCUCUACCAGCUCCAUUGACUUUGCAAAAGGAAGAGAGAAGCAAAUGAGCUGAGCAAUUAACUAACAUAACACACCUUCGAAAAGUACAUUUCAGAGUUGCCCCAUCCCACAACUCUGCAAUGGUGGCUGAUUGUUCAUGAACCAGCAUAUAAAUAUCCCAAAACAGAAUGGCUAAGCU